GAUGAACGCUGGCGGCGUGCCUAAUACAUGCAAGUCGAGCGAACAGAUAAGGAGCUUGCUCCUUUGACGUUAGCGGCGGACGGGUGAGUAACACGUGGGUAACCUACCUAUAAGACUAGAAUAACUCCGGGAAACCGGGGCUAAUGCCGGAUAACAUUUAGAACCGCAUGGUUCUAAAGUGAAAGAUGGUUUUGCUAUCACUUAUAGAUGGACCCGCGCCGUAUUAGCUAGUUGGUAAGGUAAUGGCUUACCAAGGCAACGAUACGUAGCCGACCUGAGAGGGUGAUCGGCCACACUGGAACUGAGACACGGUCCAGACUCCUACGGGAGGCAGCAGUAGGGAAUCUUCCGCAAUGGGCGAAAGCCUGACGGAGCAACGCCGCGUGAGUGAUGAAGGGUUUCGGCUCGUAAAACUCUGUUGUUAGGGAAGAACAAACGUGUAAGUAACUGUGCACGUCUUGACGGUACCUAAUCAGAAAGCCACGGCUAACUACGUGCCAGCCGCCGCCGUAA
rnacentral:rRNA from 1 species